GUGGUGCUGGAUUAGGCCCGUGGACCCAUCUCUGAACGAAGCCAACCCUCAAAAUUGGAGCCAGCUAACAACUAUGAUGUAAAAAAGUGAGGGUCUCUGACGGCACACCAGCAUGAAAUUGUACACAGAGCUCCCCACUUCCUCAAUACACUCUGGAAAAAGGAAGAAGGUAUUUGUGUCUUCUGGGAAAUAUAUGUUGAAAAUCAUUUUGUACACAAGUGUGAAAAGCACACAGAACACAUUUUUUAACCACUGAUUAUUCAUUUUAUUUGAUUUGUAGAACAGUGGGACAGAUUCCAGAGUGCAGCAGGUACAAAUUAAGAUGAAGGCACAAAUUUGGCAAAGGGAUUCAUAGGCACCAGGGAAAUAGUAGCUUAUCUAAAAGGCAUUCAGCUUGGAUCACCUGCAUCGUGCACAAACUAGGAUAUGCAUUUCUAGCUGUAGCCUAGUGAGAUUAGUAUGUCUAUAUGAGAGUAUAUAAUAGUAAUCAUUAAUCUACUUCGUGUUUAGCUUAUGCAUGUCUAUAUACUACUCAGCUAACUCCCCAUUACAAGAGCUCUAGAUUGUCUAAAUAUUAGCCCAUAGUAAUCAAUUAAAUGUAAUAAAAGAAAGGAAGCCUUUGAAGAUGCCUUUUGGCUUUUCUUUUCACUUAUUGGAAGGUGGCAAAGGAAUAUCUGUAGGUGGAGUAGAAUCACUCGUAAAUUUCAUAUCACGGCAGAACAAGACCGUUUCCUUGCCUAAACCCAGCUGGUAUUGCCAUAUGUAUAUCUUCUCAUUGGGCUGCAGGGUCAAAUUAAUAGCUUCUUCGAUCUCAGUGGCUUCAUUCCAGUUUUCCUGCUCUGUGUUGACACUCUUCCCACCAUACUCAGCAGUGAGAGAGAACUGGUACUUGGCAACGGCCUCAGUGAGUGCGCCUGACUGAUAUGAGGCAGUCAUGGAAAUCUUCCAGUUGUGUUCCACACUGGUCAUCUUCUGCUUGUUGUAUCCCACUUUCUUAGUGAUCUUCUUAUUCCAUACAAUGGGAGUGUUGGAGUCAUUGGAGAUGGUCUUGAUAGCUUCCCACUUACCAUAAGCUGGACCAUAGGUAAGAGCCAUUCCUCCAGGGAGCAUGUUCACAACAUCACUAUGGAAGGAGUAUGUAACAGCAUCCAAAUUUUCAUGGAAGUUGGUGCAUCUAUAGUACUGGACCCCCCAUUCAUCAUGGGGUUUUACAAAGUAAUAGUAAUCCUUGCUGCCCCAGUAAUAGAGACCAUCCUUGCAAGUUGGGUGAAGUGUGUAUUCAACUGCAUCUGUAUCUUCAUGCAUAUUAAUGACCCGACGGUAAACACCUCUUUUCUGGAAAAUGAUAUAGAAGGAUCCAAAGGCUGAGAGGUAAUGGUCCCCUCCACGGCAGUUGGGAUGGAGGCUGUAUACUACAGAACCUAAGUCUUUAUUCAUGUUGCUGACACGGCGAUAGUUGUCUCCUUUGAUGAUGUAGAAUAGGUCAUCCUCAUGGGCUAAAUAGUGAUCUCCUCCCGUGCAGGAACUAUGCAGGCUAAACACUUCAAGGUCUUUGCCCUCAUGGAAAUUGGUGGACCUCAUGUAGCAGCCCAGGUCUGAGCGGACGAUGUAGUAAUAUUCAUCUACCCCACAGAAAUCAACCCCUGGGGCUUUGUUCUUAGGGACUAUCUCUGGCAUGGUGCUUGAUUCUAGGAAAAGAAAGCAAUGUAUUCAGUAAGAUUUCACAAAUUGAUCAUUCAUUUACUCUUUGUAAUUACUUUAUUAUUAUAUUAUUUUUAAUAAUG
ensembl:lncRNA